UUUUUCCCCCUUCUUUCGAUCGCUACCUGAUCCCCCCCCCCCCCCCCCCCAAUUUACAGCGCCAGCCGGGUAAGCGCUUGGGACAGCCGCUCCUGCAUGAUUAUUCCACUUCAGCGCAGCUUCUCUGUAACCAGCCAACUUCUUCCCUUAUGUUUCAUGGUUUAAUUACAUGUGGUGUUCAAACAUGUAUUUGAAAAAGUUUUCCCAAUACAGCAACUUUUAUUUUGAAACAAAAACAACUGAUUUGAUCAGUAGAGAUCAAACUGUAAACAGCAACUGUUCCAUUAAAUAGUAACUUCCUCUUUUAUAGCCUGCAAGAGAGGCUGUAAAAGAAAAGUCAGUAACUGCUCCUUCCUCCUUUCUCUUCCUUACUAUCUCUAGCAAACAGGGCAAGGAGGGUUGGGCUCAUAGGACUGAUUCAAUCAGAGCAUGGACCAGCUUACUCGCCUCUUUUUCUUUGAGCAGUGCACCAUAGAAACUUAGUUACUGAAGGAGCAUUCACUGUGUCUUCUCACUCACCCUGUCCCUUCACAUAGUAUAGUUCUGGGGAUUAAGACCAACUAACUAUGUCUUCACCAUCCAGUAACAGGGUGAGUGAGUGAGCAAGGUCCUUCUUUCUAUUUCCUGGAUAGCUAAGCUGAAUUCAUUUCUUGCCUUUGCUGAAAGAGACAAGGUAUGCUGUCUGUUAGAGUUUCAGAUCAGCAAGCCCAGGGAAUGGCAGCCAUCACUUGCACAAGUCUGUCUGCCAAGAGCAGGAAAAAGUGAGUGACUUCUUUUCACUCCCUCCUCCCCCACAUAGCAUGUUUCAAUUGCUCCUACAUCCACUCACUUGCUUUUAGGCAAGUGAGGAAGGGGAGAUUUGGAGUCUGGGUCUGUCUAGAGCUAUUGUUCAAGCAGUGAGCUCUGCUCACUUACCCUGUCUUUGGGUGGUGCAGAAUAUACAAUUGGUUAUGGAAGGGGAAGAUAUCAUAUCCUUUUACUUGCUCAGCCGUAUUCUCUCUCCCUCCAAUAGUGAGACUUCUGUCCAGUGUAACAAAUCUUCCCUGUUAUGAUGCUCAGAGAGAGAAAAAGAGAGAUGAUGAGCAAGAUAAGGCAUCAGUUGUUCCUUGCAGGAAAUGUUACUGCCUUCACAUUGCCUUGCUGGUCAGUAGCAAGAAGAACUGGGCAAGUAAUGGUUAUGGAUGUCUCUAUUCACUUGCCUGGUUUCUUCCUCUCUGGUGUGUUAUUUACUUGCUCAUUUUAUCUCUUUGGGCAUGAAAUAUUGGACUUAUUGGGAGGGAUGUGUCAUCCAGAAGGAGGGAAGGAGCAGGAAGAGACACUGGCAUGCUCAUUUACUUUGUCUACACACUUAAUCUUUCACACCGAAAGGAGAAAAUCAAGUGAGCAAAAGGUAGGAGAAGAAUCAUUUCUGUGCACUCACACAUCCUCUCACUAGGUUGUGUGGAGGAUGGGGCAAGUUGGGCACAAUUCUCACCACUAUACCAUACAGCAAGAAUGAGAGAGGGGAGGGAGAUUGUAGCUGGUGAGGAAGAAUGAGAUGGCUGCUGCUGGCAGUGCCUAUCCUUGUAGUUGCACUGCCCAGAGAUAUGGUAAGACAGUUAUUUGUCCUUUUUCUCUAGACAAUAGGUGGACCCAUUUCAACCUAUCAAGGUACCCAGAGACAGUUAAGAGAGUGGAGGGAGGAGCAGCUGUUGCCUGCUCUGGUUUGUACACUUUGUUGUCCUCCCACAGAAGUGAUAAAGCUCAGAGGAAAAGGUGCCAACAGGUCUGGGGAUCUUAGGCCUUCUUGGCUGGGAGUCCCUCUUUCUAUUUAUUUUUAUGCUCUGCUGAUGAGGUAGUGGAAAAGAGGAGGGAUUGCUAUUUACUUUUUUAUUUUCAUAAAAAAGAAAUAAGAUACAAAAAGAUAGGAAAGAAAAAGGAUACCAAGGGAUAUUAAUGAAAUAGAGCAUAUAAUUUCAAUAUCUAACCUGUUCAUGAGAGAGGAAAAUUUCUAUCUCCUGUAGCCACAGUUACAUCAAUCAAUUCCUGCUAUUUACUGUUUACUGUUUGCUUUUUCCUCAUCUCCCUUGAGUGCAGGAGGCUAGCUAAUGCUGGGAAAGGCCCUGCCCCCAGAGCUGGGAAGACAGACUUUGAUCUGAACUUCUGAGAGGAGGUGGGGUCUUCCCCAAAGCUCUAGUUCAUUCUUCUGCCUUGUGGUGGGAGACCAAAAUAAAAAAGUAGAGGAAAAGGAAAGAGAAAGAAAAUGAAAAAGAAAAAUGAAGAGGAGGAGAAAGAGCUAACCCAAGAGGCUCAGCAGCAGAGAAGAGUCCUGGCUUAAUCAGGAGGAAGAAGAUCUUCACCCCUCUACUUCCUUCCACUGGAAAAUGUUCAGUGGCCAACACUUGUGGCUUCCUCUUAUGGACACUCUAGCUCCUUUGGCUCCUCUGCUAGACCCCAGGGACAGUCCCAGCUGAUCCAUCUUCUAGGUCUCUCUCACAUGACUCCACUGGACAUAGUUCAGCAGACAGAUCUCCACAUUACUCUCCAGUCCUUUUUGAGUCCCAAGAAGUAAGAGAGGGGUCAUAUUGAUGGUGCUUAAGGAAGCCUAUCACCACAUGAGGAUGGGGGCCCCACUAGGAACUAGAAGAUUUUGGGAAGGCCAUGAGCAGCUCUCCCAGAUCCAAGCAUAGCUCCAUGAAAGGGGAGAGACAUUUUACCCACACUCACAGGUGUGGUUCUGUUUGCCCAGCUACAGGGAGUGCUGCCACAGCAGGCCCCACCCUUCAGGGACACUGCAAUAUCACUGGUGGUCAGCUUCCUCCUCAGAGUUGAAGGCAGGGUAAGGGGCUUUCCAGAUAGCUCCAGAAACAGAACUUUCUUUCCUUCACAAUAGACCUAGUCAAUCCUCACAGCAGACUUGUGACAAGGGUAGGCAAUGUUCUCCAUCCUCCACUUACUCCUCUGACUCCUGGACCCACUUGUCCCUCUCCCCUAAUCUGUAACCUCUUCAGACAUGGAUGAGGGGGAGCUCACCAAUGGGACAAGCAGCCUCAAAGCAACCUAUUUCUAUCAGAGGUCUUUCCAGAUCUGAUUUCCAGUGCCCUGAAAAUUCUGGAGCUGAUGGACCAAGAGGACAGACAAUCCUUUGGUAAGACCUUCAUCCAGCAACAGGAUCUUCAUUUUCAGAAAUUAUUUCUUUGCUAUUUGGACAAUGGGGAGAAUCGGGUCCAAAAAUAACCAGAAUUGCUUGGAAAAAAAUGAAAAUGUAAUGAAGACAAUAACAGUGAUGAGAAAAUUUGCAGACUUUUGUCUCACAAACACUGGGUUGUGGUAGAAUCAACUAUUGUAGGUAACGUUUUGAAAAGCAUAUUUUAAAAGUAACACAAACCUUAUGCUUCUGUCACAUUACAGUACUGUAUAAAGCUAAGUUGGAUAAAAUCUUUUAAACUAUAAAAUUUGCUGGGAAACUAAAAUUAGUAUUUUAAUGGUUUUAACAGUCACUUUUGAUUUGAUUUAUUUUUAUUGGUUAUAUAUUGUGUUAUUAUAUUGUGGUACUGAUUUAUUGGACUUUGAUUUUAAUGGUUGUAAACUUCCUGAGAAGUUAUACAUGUAAAAGUUUUAAAUAAAUAAAUACUCAUCUUCAGCCACUCA